rnacentral:rRNA from 1 species
AAGUUGUGCAAGUGAAGCGCACCAGCAAAAUUGAAAUCCGCCCUGCAGAUCGGAAUGUAAUGGUAGAUCGUGUCGGAUGCCGUGAUGCACGAGUAUUUGAAUGUAACAUCAUAGAGGGUGAUAAUCCGUACCUGCCGCCCACCAAUUCCGUGGAAGCACUUUCGACGAGUCGAGUUGUUUGGGAAUGCAGCCCAAAUUGGGUGGUAAAUUUCAUCUAAAGCUAAAUAUCAGCCAGAGACCGAUAGCGCACAAGUAGAGUGAUCGAAAGAUGAAAAGCACUUUGAAAGAGAGUAAAAAAGCACGUGAAACUGUUUGGAGGGAAGCGCUUGCAACCAGACUCGCUCGCAGUGUUCAGCCUCCUGACAAGGUGGUGCACUCUCUGCGCGGCGGGCCAACAUCAGUUUCAGCGGUCGGACAAAAGUUCGGAAAACGUAGCUUCUCCUCGGAGGAGUGUUAUAGUUCCGUCCACAAUGCGAUCUGCCGGGACUGAGGAAAACUGCGCUCUAUGCUAGGAUGUUGGCAUAAUGGUUGUCAGCGACCCGUCUUGAAACACGGACCAAGGAGUCCUACAACUCCGCGAGCGUUAGGGUGUCAAACCCCUGCGCGGAAUGAAAGUGAACGUAGGUGGGAGUUCGCAAGAACGCACCAUCGACCGAUCCGAGUUCGCGAGGAUUUGAGUAUGAGUGUAGUUGUAGGGACCCGAAAGAAGGUGAACUAUUGCUGACUAGGGCGAAGCCAGAGGAAACUCUGGUGGAGGCUCGCAGCGGUUCUGACGUGCAAAUCGAUCGUCAAAGCUGGCAAUAGGGGCGAAAGACUAAUCGAACCUUCUAGUAGCUGGUUCCUGUCGAAGUUUCCCUCAGGAUAGCAGCAACGAAUUGAACAGUCUCAUGAGGUAGAGCAACGAUUAGAGGCCUUGGGGCUGUAACAGCCUUAACCUAUUCUCGAACUCCGAAUAUGUGAGAAGUCCUUGUUACUUUAUGAACGUGGACAUUGGAUUAUCGUGCUUUACAA